rnacentral:rRNA from 1 species
CUUACUCCUACGGGAGGCAGCAGUGGGGAAUAUUGCACAAUGGGCGGAAGCCUGAUGCAGCGACGCCGCGUGAGGGAUGACGGCCUUCGGGUUGUAAACCUCUUUCAGUAGGGAAGAAGCGAAAGUGACGGUACCUGCAGAAGAAGCGCCGGCUAACUACGUGCCAGCAGCCGCGGUAAUACGUAGGGCGCAAGCGUUAUCCGGAAUUAUUGGGCGUAAAGAGCUCGUAGGCGGUUUGUCGCGUCUGCCGUGAAAGUCCGGGGCUCAACUCCGGAUCUGCGGUGGGUACGGGCAGACUAGAGUGAUGUAGGGGAGACUGGAAUUCCUGGUGUAGCGGUGAAAUGCGCAGAUAUCAGGAGGAACACCGAUGGCGAAGGCAGGUCUCUGGGCAUUAACUGACGCUGAGGAGCGAAAGCAUGGGGAGCGAACAGGAUUAGAUACCCUGGUAGUCCAUGCCGUAAACGUUGGGCACUAGGUGUGGGGGACAUUCCACGUUUUCCGCGCCGUAGCUAACGCAUUAAGUGCCCCGCCUGGGGAGUACGGCCGCAAGGCUAAAACUCAAAGGAAUUGACGGGGGCCCGCACAAGCGGCGGAGCAUGCGGAUUAAUUCGAUGCAACGCGAAGAACCUUACCAAGGCUUGACAUGAACCGGUAAGACCCUGAAAUCAC